AUCAAGAUUUAGAUACAACGCUAUUAACAAUAUCAAGAAUACAAUUGAGUGAAGAAAUUUUUUUUUGCCAUGAAGCUAUCUCUUUUGAUCAUUUUCUUUGUGUCUCUCCUGGUUAGCUCAUCGUGCAGUGUGACAGCAUCUGAGAAGCCCCCUAUUGAAGCACUAUCAUGUGACCCAAACAAGCCUGAAAUUGGAAUUAUUCGCAUUUGGUUUUGCAAACAUGAGGAGUGCCAUAGACAGUGUUUUGCUAAAUAUGACUCAGCUGGAAUUAAAAAUCCUCGUUGUGACGGCAGAGACACUUGUGACUGUUGUUUUGAUAAAUAGAUGCAUUAAUUGUAUUGAUAAAUUACUUUGAAUAAAAUAAAGUUUGAUAUA